rnacentral:rRNA from 1 species
CACGUAGGGUGCGAGCGUUGUCCGGAAUUAUUGGGCGUAAAGGGCUCGUAGGCGGUUUGUCGCGUCGGGAGUGAAAUCAUCUGGCUUAACUGGGUGCUUGCUUUCGAUACGGGCAGACUAGAGGUAUGCAGGGGAGAACGGAAUUCCUGGUGUAGCGGUGAAAUGCGCAGAUAUCAGGAGGAACACCGGUGGCGAAGGCGGUUCUCUGGGCAUGAUCUGACGCUGAGGAGCGAAAGUGUGGGGAGCGAACAGG